GAUGAACGCUGGCGGCGUGCCUAACACAUGCAAGUCGAACGGGUGUGGUAUCAGGGAAAAGGGGUUUACUUCUUUGACCAGAUAACACACUAGUGGCGGACGGGUGAGUAACGCGUGGAUAACCUGCCUUAUACAGGGGGAUAACAGGGAGAAAUUCCUGCUAAUACCCCAUAGGUAUGUCUGACGCAUGUUGGACAUAUUAAAGCUUUGGCGGUAUAAGAUGGGUCCGCGUCUGAUUAGCUAGUUGGUGGGGUAAAGGCCCACCAAGGCGACGAUCAGUAGCCGGCUUGAGAGAGUGGACGGCCACAUUGGGACUGAGACACGGCCCAAACUCCUACGGGAGGCAGCAGUGGGGAAUAUUGCACAAUGGGGGAAACCCUGAUGCAGCGACGCCGCGUGAAGGGAGAAGGUCUUCGGAUCGUAAACUUCUAUCAGCAGGGAAGAAGGAAGUGACAGUACCUGA
rnacentral:rRNA from 1 species